UGUGUGUGUGUGUGUGUGUGUGUGUGUGUGUGUGUAUAUAUGUGUACACAUACAUACAUUCUCACACACACACUCACU